UUCGCUGUGUCGCCUGGCACGCAAGUCGCGGAUCCUUUAGUUUCAUCAGAGACAAUAUUUGUGUGAGAUAGUCACGCAGUACAGGCCACGGAUAGUUUCAUAAAUUAUACAAGAUGGCCGAGGACAAGAAAACUAAUAAGAGGAAUAUAAAACAGAUGGAGGAUAAACAUCGUGACGUCUUGGAGUUGGUGACUCAAGUCCCUGGAAAUUUUGAGGGUAUGUAUAGCCUUCGAAACCGCAAUCUGCUGAUAUACAUUAAGGCCUGAAUUCUCUCGCCCACGAGCGGCGAGACUUAAAUGUAUAUGACUUGUAUUAUGUAAUAUAAAUAUACUACGUGACUUUAAAAUGUAAGCCUGGUGAUAUUUAUUUGUUAAGGAACUAUUAAGUAAUGUUUAACCAGUAUGUAUAUUCAUUCGAUUGUAAUAUUAUAAGGAAAAUAUUAUAAAGUUGUAUCAACAUUUUCGAAAAAUAUUUCGUACACUUAAAUAUUACUUUAUCAACAUCCCGAAAGCAUUGGUAAAACAAAUUUUUUUUAUGCCAUUGUAUAUACCCAAUUCCUCGUUCCUAAAUAUAUAAUGGCGACCUUCCUGAACGUACCCGGUUGCACUUGUAA